CACGUAGGGGCCAAGCGUUGUCCGGAUUUAUUGGGCGUAAAGAGCUCGUAGGCGGCUCGGUAAGUCGGGUGUGAAACCUCCAGGCUCAACCUGGAGACGCCACCCGAUACUGCUGUGGCUAGAGUCCGGUAGGGGAGCGUGGAAUUCCUGGUGUAGCGGUGAAAUGCGUAGAUAUCAGGAGGAACACCGGUGGCGAAGGCGGCUACCUGGACAGAAACUGACGCUGAGGCACGAAAGCUAGGGGAGCAAACAGG
rnacentral:rRNA from 1 species